rnacentral:rRNA from 1 species
AUUGAACGCUGGCGGCAUGCUUUACACAUGCAAGUCGAACGGUAACAGGCCGCAAGGUGCUGACGAGUGGCUCACGGGUGUGUAAUGCAUCGGAACGUGCCCAGUCGUUGGGGAUAACUACUCGAAAGAGUAGCUAAUACCGCAUACGAUCUAUGGAUGAAAGCGGGUGACCGUAAUGCCUCGCGCGAUUUUAUCGGCCGAUGUCAGAUUAGGUAGUUGGUGGGGUAAAGGCUCACCAAGCCAACGAUCUGUAUCUGGUCUGAGAGUAAGACCAGCCACACUGGGACUGAGACACGGACCAGACUACUACGGGAGGCAGCAGUGGGGAAUUUUGGACAAUGGGCGAAAGCCUGAUCCAGCAAUGCCGCGUGCAGGAAGAAGGCCUUCGGGUUGUAAACUGCUUUUGUACGGAACGAAACGGCUCUGGUUAAUACCCGGGGCUAAUGACGGUACCGUAAGAAUAAGCACCGGCUAACUACGUG